AUUCCAGCUCCAAUAGCGUAUAUUAAAGUUGUUGCAGUUAAAACGCUCGUAGUCGGAUUUCGGGGCGGGCCGACCGGUCUGCCGAUGGGUAUGCACUGGCCGGCGCGUCCUUCCACCCGGAGACCGCGCCUACUCUUAACUGAGCGGGCGCGGGAGACGGGUCUUUUACUUUGAAAAAAUCAGAGUGUUUCAAGCAGGCAGUCGCUCUUGCAUGGAUUAGCAUGGGAUAAUGAAAUAGGACUCUGGUGCUAUUUUGUUGGUUUCGAACACCGGAGUUAUGAUUAACAGGGACAGUCAGGGGCACUCGUAUUCCGCCGAGAGAGGUGAAAUUCUCAGACCGGCGGAAGACGAACCCCUACGCCCACACCCGCCCCCCCCCCCCCCCUCG
rnacentral:rRNA from 1 species